GACGAACGCUGGCGGCGUGCCUAACACAUGCAAGUCGAACGGAAAGGCCCUGCUCUUGCUGUGGGCUCGAUUGGCGAACGGGUGAGUGACACGCGAGUACCCUCUCCUCUGCUUUCGGGUAUCUCCCGGAAACUGCGGCUAAUACCGGAGAGAAGCUGCUGUGGCACGGUGGGGGUUGGUAAGUGUCGGCGGUUGGGGUUGGACUGGCGGCUUAUCAGCUUGUUGGUGGGGUAGUGGCUUACCACGGCUUUGACGGGUAGCCGGCCUGAGAGGGUGACCGGCGACAUUGGUACUGAGGUAGGGAGCAGACUGCAACGGGAGGCAGUGGUGGAGAGUCUUACGGAGUAGCGGGGAGCGUGAGGAGGAGACGCCGCGUGCGGGAAGACGUGCUGCGGGUUGUGAACCGCUUUCGCAUGUAAUGGAGCGAGAGUGACGGUAACGAGUGAGGAAGCCACGGCUAACUACGUG
rnacentral:rRNA from 1 species